rnacentral:rRNA from 1 species
UACGUAGGGUGCGAGCGUUAAUCGGAAUUACUGGGCGUAAAGCGUGCGCAGGCGGUUCGCUGUGUCCUGUGUGAAAGCCCCGGGCUUAACCUGGGAAUGGCAUUUGAGACUGCAUAGCUAGGGUGCGGAAGAGGGAAGCGGAAUUUCCGGUGUAGCGGUGAAAUGCGUAGAUAUCGGAAGGAACACCAGUGGCGAAAGCGGCUUCCUGGUCCAGCACCGACGUUCAGGCACGAAAGCGUGGGGAGCAAACAGG